UUACCCGAUUAGCUGAGAGGUGGUGCAUGGCCGUCGUCAGUUCGUACUGUGAAGCAUCCUGUUAAGUCAGGCAACGAGCGAGACCCACGUCCACAGUUGCCAGCAUACCCUCCGGGGUGAUGGGUACACUGUGGAGACCGCCGCUGCUAAAGCGGAGGAAGGAGUGGGCAACGGUAGGUCAGUAUGCCCCGAAUCUCCCGGGCUACACGCGGGCUACAAUGGUUGGUACAAUGGGCAUCUACCCCGAAAGGGGAAGGAAAUCUCUUAAAGCCAAUCGUAGUUCGGAUUGAGGGCUGCAACUCGCCCUCAUGAAGCUGGAAUCCGUAGUAAUCGCGUUUCAACAGAACGCGGUGAAUACGUCCCUGCUCCUU
rnacentral:rRNA from 1 species